UGCAUCCGAUUUGGCUUAGGCAAUGGCAGUUCGGCAAGUCAACGUGGGAUGCCCUUUCCUAGUAACGGCAACUUACAGGAUCCUGGCAAAGUAGCUAGGCAAAGGACUCCUCCGUUUAUGUGACUGGAAGUGCCUGCCUGAUGCCUGGAGCCAUUUCGAAAGGGACUGAGGCCUGAAAGCAUCCUGGGCUGGGUCUCUUACCUCAGUCUCCAGGGCCUAACCAACCUUGCUAGCUUUUCUUUUCUGGGUUUUCUAAAAUUCCUAUCUCUUUUUUUUCUUUUCUUUUCCUUUUUUCCCCUUUCUCUUCUUUCUAUAUUUCAUUCUUUCUUUCUUUCUUUUAACAGCCCUUAUUGACGUGUGCACUCCACAUCAGGACGAAAAGGUGCUGACUAACUGCUAAGCGGCAGCUCCUGGUGGUAUUUAGAGGUCAGACUGAUAAGGCGGCAGACACUUAGGCACUCUGUCGGUCCGAGCUCCUGGCAUGCCACUCUUUGGCCUGAAGAUGUAAGGGACACAGAAGCUGAACAAGAAGCUGGGAACAACUCAUUUUUCAUGUGAUGUCACCACCUUGAGCUCUGACUAUGCCAAACAUCUCCCGAUUGUUCCAAAACUACUCCAGACAAACUAGAUAUGACGACUUCGGCCUAUGAUCCUAGCAUUCUGGAAGAAGAGGUCAGAAGCUUGGGAGUUCAAGGUCAUCCUUAACUACGUGGCUUGUUUGAGGCCACCUUGGGCUACUCGAGACCCCGCCUCAAAACAAACAAACCGAGCCACAGUGAAUUCAUAAAGCUCUGUUGUGUGGAUUUUGCAUUGAUCAUACCUACGAUCUCAUUAAAUCAUAACAGAAUGAGAAAAAAAAUAAAGGAAGGAAAGGA